rnacentral:rRNA from 1 species
UCUUAUGCUUGUAUCAAAGGUUAAGCCAUGCAUGUCUAAGUACAAACAAGUU